rnacentral:tRNA from 2 species
GCGGCCUUAGCUCACUUGGGAGAGCGCCAGACUGAAGUCAAUCAGUCACAACAUCUGGAGGCACUGUGUUCGAUCCACAGAGGCCGCA